GAUAAUAAAUCUGUCAUUAAAUUGCAUUAAUUAUAUAUUAAAAGUAUUUAUAUCCAAGGUUGAUUGGAUCUAGGGCAUAACACUCACAUGAACGUCUUUCAUCAUUUAUUACCAAAAAUUGCUAUGAUGUCGUUCGGCCUUCCUAAGAAGAGCGGUGCUCUCAAUUUUCAACGUAUUCCACGUGUUUUGAUCUGGACCUUGAAGCUAAAACAUUGGUCUCAUCGAAUGGUCUAUAAAUGACCCAAAUUUGGAUGGUCUAGAUCUUUGAGAUUUGACGGUUAAAAAUGCAUGUGUUUGCCUAUAAAAGGC
rnacentral:lncRNA from 1 species